GGGACUUUGGCAAAGCAGCUCUUAUGGGUAUACUGAAGCAGCAGAUCAGAAUUCAGAAACAAGAACGAGAGCUGAAAUGUGAUUCUCUGGUGCUCCUUGUAACCCUCCUCUUCACGAUACAACUGUGCGGGGCACUCUCAGGAGCCUUGUUCGGAUCACCGAAUCCACUAAAGGACCAUGCAGCCGCGGAGCCCAGCAAGCCACCGGGAAGUUUUGCCGGAGCUGAUUUCUAGGGGAUUUUCCGGUGCCUAGGAGAAUCCUGCUUGCUUUGAGCUGUAUGGAGGAGGGUUCCAGUUUCCCAUGAGGGGCCCCCUUGGGAAAGCCGUCUGUGCAGAAUCCAAGCUCUGCUUCUCUCUGUGUGCUAUUUAUCAAAAGGCUUUUCUCACCUUUGCUGAUUUGCUGGUGUGAUUUCCAUGUACUGAGUCCUGUGUAGGGAUCCAGGAUGGAUUGCCUGUGCAUUGUCACCACAAAGCAAAACCAAGGCAAAUGCCCAGCCCAGAACUGCUCAGUGGAAGCCCCUGCUUGGAUGCCUGUCCACCACUGUACUGUGUUCCCACCAACUUCCAAAGGAGGAAUUCAUAGAUGCAUUGUUCUUGUUCUUUGGACUGCUAAGCACUGCCAAGGGGAAUUAGACAUCUGUGAGAAUUCAUUCAUUCAGCAUAUACUGAGUGCCUA
rnacentral:lncRNA from 1 species